rnacentral:lncRNA from 1 species
CAGCAGCCGACUCUUCUCUGCACAGCCGCUACAUCCAGGCAUCUCUUCCGCUUGGAUCGGGUGAGUAUAACCUUUUUUUUUUCUACCCUCUUUCUGUUUAUCAAUCAAGCGUAACGUCAUCCUAAACAAUCGACUAGUUUGCAGACCACACGAGAGGCCUCUGAUGCAGUAAAUGCCAGGUGUAAUUGAGCAGCGUGUAAAGUGCAUUGGACCUGUAAUGCUGUCAACACCUUAUUGCAAUCGACUAUUGUGCAGAAACACGGGAUAUCAGGUGCUUUAAACCACAUGUUGUGUAAACUGAAUUAUAAUCACGCAUUGUGUAUGACAUCAGAUGUUCUGAACACACCUACAAUCGAGUAAAUGGCAUAGUUUUUAAAAUUUAUUCACGAGAAUAUAAUCUGAAACUCUGUUUAUAGUAGAAUACUAAUUUUAUAGGAUGCAACUGACUGUAGAUGAUUUAAGACACAAUUGAGCAAUACAAUUCAUACAGGUUCUCUGCUGCAAUUAACGCUAUAAUGCAAUUGAGUAAUUUAGUAAAGCCCACAAGAUAUACGAUGCUGCAAUUACCUCAUUAUAGUGGAACAAUACCAUAGAAAGUAUAUAUUAUAUCAGAUGUUCUGAAUCACAAUAAUGUACAAUGAUUUUGAUCAUCAACAUCAGGUGUUCUAAACAAUGGAAACGUGUUUUCAUCGCAGUGUAACUUAUAUAUACAUAAAAAUAUACAGCAAUUGCUUAUUGCAAAUUCACUUGCAGUAUAGCUUAAGAAGUUUAUUAAUCAUGAUUGAACCACUUGAGAAUAUGAUGCAGCAGUGCAACUGAAUAAUACACAGAGCAUGCAAGACAUACAAUGGUGCAAACGGUUCAUUGUAAUUAUAAGUUGUAUAGAAUACGUGGAAUGUUGAUCGUGGUGCUAUGAAUACUUUAUUGCAGUUGAGUACUAGAAUAUCUUACGAACGUCUUUACUGCAAUAUAUUUUAAACGUCUCAUUGUAGUUUAGCGUAUAAGAAAAAUACACCAGAUUAAGUUUAUCAAUCAUAACUGAAUGAAGAGAUCGUGUGUAUUAUACUCUUCAUAGUAAGUGAGAAGUAUGAAGCUUACAAGACCUCUGACUCAGUAACUCGACAAGAUAAUUGAAUAACAAAAGCAUACAAGAUAUACGAUAUUGCAAACAGCUCAUUGUAAUUGAAUAACACAUAGUAUUGUUCUGAAUCAUAAAAACGUCAAUGUAGAAGAGCACAUGGUGCAUCAGCGUUAUAAAAACGUUUACUGCAACGCCUCGUUGCAAUUUAGCGCGUAAAUAAAACACGUUGGAUUAAGUUUAUCAAUCAUAAACCGAGUGAAGAGACGGUGUAAAUUAUACGCUUAGUUAUAAUUGAGCAGUGUGAAGCAUACAAGACCUCUCUGACUCAGUUAACGCGACAGUAUAAUCGAAUAAUACACACAAAGCUCAACAAGAUAUACGAUGCUGCAAACACCUCAUUGUAAUUGAGCACGAGGGUAAAGCACACACAGGGCCUCCGAUGCAGUAAACGCGCUAUUAUAAUGGAGCAGUGAAUAAAGCACAAGGGGGCCCAGACACUUGACACGUUCCACACUUGUAACGCGUCAAGUGCGGCUAUGAAUAGCGUAAAAGAGAACACACGUGACAGUGGAAAGAGAACCCAAUCGCCAUCAUUACGUCGUUUUCCCCAUCGAAGCAUAAACCCCGGAAUUUCCAUAAGCAGAAAAAGGAUAUUUUUGUUAAUUGUCCAAACUUAGAAGUCUUUUCGUUUUGCUCCAGUCCGAUAGACUCAACCAGAUCAAAUAUGUAAAUUCCCUUAUACACUCGUUAUUUACAAUUCUUCCGGUGAGCGGUCGCGAUCUAUAAAAUUAAACGCAGUUGUUUAUAGAAGGCGAUUAAAUAAUUAAGCAGAUUCUAACAGGAGUAAAUGCCUCUGUCGUAAUUAAUAGAAUAUAAAUGGUGCAGAGGUAAACUGGCAUUAAUUUUUAUCAUGUUUGCACUUAUUCUACGUGAUGCCGAGUGCGGAUCGCUAACUGUUUUAAAAUUAUAAGUUUGCCACGUUUACACUACGGAAGACGAGACACUGUUUGAAUACUUUCGUAACGCGAACGUAACGUGUACUCUUCUGUGUUUCCAUUCUGGCGUAUUUCGAGUUUUAGAGCAAUUACAGAACGGUUUACGUUUGUGCAAUUGUGAAAGCAUUUUAGUGUAGGGGUUAAAAAUGUCUCUCAAAAGAGAUCGAUUUAUGCGUGGCUCCUAACGACUAGCGAGAGACGACUAAUUCCAGUAUAGUCGGAAGAAAAUGAAUGAUUAUUAUUUAUAAAACCCGAAUAAAGAUGAUGGAAUAAACUAUAAAUACUGCUAUCUCGUGUUUACAAUAUAAUCUCCUCUGAGUAUCAGGAAAAAGUGCAUGGCAAGGAGUUUGUAACUCAAUAAAAAAUGCAAAAAUCCACUACUUCAUUCUGUCUGGUUGGAGAAUUCUUUUUUUACAUAAAUGAUCGAAUUAUAACAACUAGAAAAGGAACUUUCUCACUCUGAACAGACAUAUUUUUUAAGAAGUUUCUUUCAAGCUUAUAUAUAUAUAUAUAUAAAGAAAGAGAGAGAGAGAUUCUUGCUGUUUGUGUUGAAAGCUUUUAAUUUCCUAGGAUGCGUUUAUUUUAUGUCUCAUCGACUUCGAGAUGCAUCACCUUUAUUGCCAUCGGUAACAUCAUCGACUGGGAUGGUGUUAGUGUCACAGCAAAUGACAUUAUACUCGUCAAGCAGAGUUUGUUUCUUUCCUUUACUGCACAGUUUCUUGGCCAUUGCAGCACCACAUAAGACUCGCGGGAUUUCUUUUCUUUUCUCUUUCCUCUCCUUCAAACUUUGUUAAAGAGGAAUACCAGACGUGUAUAUAUAUAUACACACACGCAUAUUCUGAAU